ACCUGGCUGGCUCACUCAGUAGAGCAUGAGACUCUUGAUCUCAAGGUUGUGAGUUCAAGCCCCACAUUGGGCA
rnacentral:tRNA from 1 species